UUUCCGUAGGUGAACCUGCGGAAGGAUCAUUAGUGAUUUAUCUCUAAUAUCUUCUCACACCUGUGAACUGUUUUAAAUUUGGUCAUGUAUUGGGCCAUCUUUUUUUUAACAAACAUUGUGUAAUGAACGUCAUAUUAUUAUAACAAAAUAAAACUUUUAACAACGGAUCUCUUGGCUCUCGCAUCGAUGAAGAACGCAGC
rnacentral:misc_RNA from 1 species